UACGUAGGGUGCGAGCGUUAAUCGGAAUUACUGGGCGUAAAGCGUGCGCAGGCGGGCUUUUAAGCCAGACGUGAAAUCCCCGGGCUUAACCUGGGAAUGGCGUUUGGGACUGGGAGUCUGGAGUGCGGCAGAGGAGACUGGAAUUCCUGGUGUAGCAGUGAAAUGCGUAGAUAUCAGGAGGAACACCGAUGGCGAAGGCAGGUCUCUGGGACGGUACUGACGCUGAGACGCGAAAGCGUGGGGAGCGAACAGG
rnacentral:rRNA from 1 species